UACGGGGGGAGCAAGCGUUGUUCGGAUUUACUGGGCGUAAAGGGCGCGUAGGCGGCCUGCUAAGUCGGACGUGAAAUCCCCGGGCUCAACCCGGGAACUGCGUCCGAUACUGGCAGGCUUGAAUCCGGGAGAGGGAUGUGGAAUUCCAGGUGUAGCGGUGAAAUUCGUAGAUAUCGGGAGGAACACCGGUGGCGAAGGCGGCGACCUGGGUCGAGACUGACGCUGAGGCGCGAAAGCGUGGGGAGCAAACAGG
rnacentral:rRNA from 1 species